rnacentral:rRNA from 1 species
GACGAACGCUGGCGGCGUGCUUAACACAUGCAAGUCGAACGGAAAGGCCCUGCUUUUGUGGGGUGCUCGAGUGGCGACCGGGUGAGUAACACGUGAGUAACCUGCCCUUGACUUUGGGAUAACUUCAGGAAACUGGGGCUAAUACCGGAUAGGAGCUCCUGCUGCAUGGUGGGGGUUGGAAAGUUUCGGCGGUUGGGGAUGGACUCGCGGCUUAUCAGCUUGUUGGUGGGGUAGUGGCUUACCAAGGCUUUGACGGGUAGCCGGCCUGAGAGGGUGACCGGCCACAUUGGGACUGAGAUACGGCCCAGACUCCUACGGGAGGCAGCAGUGGGGAAUAGUGCACAAUGGGCGGAAGCCUGAUGCAGCAACGCCGCGUGCGGGAUGACGGCCUGCGGGUUGUAAACCGCUGUCGCCUGUGACGAAGCGUGAGUGACGGUAAUGGGUAAAGAAGCACCGGCUAACUACGUG